rnacentral:lncRNA from 1 species
GCGGGUAAGCCGAUCCAUAGGCAGAAAUGGCAAGUAAUGGGCAUAAUGGAAGGUGUCACGACCCGAUUCCUCUAGUUACGAUGACACUACACCUGCUAUAAUCCAUCAGUAGGUCAGCGACCCCAUAGCCUAGAACGACAAAUAAUUUGUAUAAGGGUAGAACUAACAUAAAUAACACUCAAAACAACAAAACGAGACAGAAGUGGAAGCAACCAAAAACUACAUACAAACGAUUACUCCCAGAACCUCUAAGUCACAAGUACAAAGAUGUCUAACAUGAACAAACAAGUCCCAAAAGUGGACCACAAGCAAGCCGUCUCAAAAGUAAGGAAACUACCUAAAUAUGUACACAAGGAGAGAGGUUGAUCCAAGACGGCAAGUGCUCACCCACGUCUCCGAUCCCAAAAGUUGCUGAAGAUGGCACUAACAAUCAUCGUCAGUAGCUGGUACUAGGAGCUGCAUCACGAAACAAAUGCAGAGUGUAGUAUGAGUACCAAAACAAAGGUACUCAGUAAGCAUUAUAG